UACGAAGGGGGCUAGCGUUGUUCGGAAUUACUGGGCGUAAAGCGCGCGCAGGCGGCCUUUCAAGUCAGGGGUGAAAGCCCGGAGCUCAACUCCGGAAUUGCCUUUGAAACUGUCAGGCUCGAGUACGGGAGAGGUGAGUGGAAUUCCCAGUGUAGAGGUGAAAUUCGUAGAUAUUGGGAAGAACACCGGUGGCGAAGGCGGCUCACUGGCCCGUUUCUGACGCUCAGGCGCGACAGCGUGGGGAUCAAACAGGAUUAGAUACCCUGGUAGUCCACGCCGUAAACUAUGAACGCUAGCCGUUGGCAGGCUUGCCUGUCAGUGGCGCAGCUAACGCAUUAAGCGUUCCGCCUGGGGAGUACGGCCGCAAGGUUGAA
rnacentral:rRNA from 1 species